GACGUAGGGCGCGAGCGUUGUCCGGAUUUAUUGGGCGUAAAGAGCUCGUAGGUGGUUCGGUUAGUCGGAUGUGAAAUCUCCAGGCUCAACCUGGAGGGGUCAUUCGAUACUGCCGUGACUAGAGUUCGGUAGAGGAGUGUGGAAUUCCUGGUGGAGCGGUGAAAUGCGCAGAGAUCAGGAGGAACACCCGUAGCGAAGGCGGCACUCUGGGCCGAUACUGACACUGAGGAGCGAAAGCGUGGGGAGCGAACAGG
rnacentral:rRNA from 1 species